rnacentral:lncRNA from 1 species
GAGGCCCCAUGGGAGCCUGAGCAUACAGGAGUUGGGGGAGCCAGGGCCCAGUGAGGGGUGGGGAGGCUAACCGACCAAGGACCACGCCGUGGAUCUGAUCCAGAAAGGUUCUGGGUGCAAGGGCAAGCAGGAGGGGGGCCAGGAAAGGACAGUUACUGGAAGAUGCACAGCCCAGGAGGCUACAGAGGGAAAGAAAGGGGGCCCCUGAUGGGGAUGGGGAGCAUGGCCUUGGGCUCCAACAGCAGAAGGGUGAGUGUCACCUGAGCAGCCACCUUUCCUCUCCAAGGCUACAUGCGGAUCCAGCAGUUUCGGAAGGCGGAUGGUUCCUAUGCGGCUUGGUUGUCACGGGACAGCAGCACCUGGUGAGCUUCGGAGAGUGGUUCCAGGGUUCUGAGGGGGUCAGGGCUGGGGCAGGGAUGGGACAGAGCUGGUACAAUGGGAGGGUGGAUAACCAGGCACCUGGGGGCGUGGGCAUAAUGAGAAGCAAGUCCUUAUCCCCCAACCCUCCUUUCCUCCCCUCCAGGCUCACAGCCUUUGUGUUGAAGGUCCUGAGUUUGGGAACCCGGGGGUCCAGGCCCCAGACCCUCCUCCCGUUUUCUUCCAGGAAGCCUCCAUCUCAAAGGCAAACUCAUUUUUGGGGGAGAAAGCAAGUGCUGGGCUCCUGGGUGCCCACGCAGCUGCCAUCACGGCCUAUGCCUUGACACUGACCAAGGCCCCUGCGGACCUGCGGGGUGUUGCCCACAACAACCUCAUGGCAAUGGCCCAGGAGACUGGAGGUGAGGGGUGAGGGGCUCCUGGCAGUGAGCCUGAGGCCCAGGGGACCUUAGGAUCCCUGAGUGUGCCCAGAGGGAGGGGCUGGAUGAAGACUCAGAGGAGGAAUGAAGGUAUAAGCAGGGGUGGGUUGGGGGAGACUCAGGAGAGCCCAGCAGGGGGUGGCUAAGGGCCAGGGGACCAGGCUCUUCUCCCUGCCUUCCUGUUUACUCGUGGUCUCCCUUCACUUCCAGAUAACCUGUACUGGGGCUCAGUCACUGGUUCUCAGAGCAAUGCCGUGUCGCCCACCCCGGCUCCUCGCAACCCAUCCGACCCCAUUCCCCAGGCCCCAGCCCUGUGGAUUGAAACCACAGCCUACGCCCUGCUGCACCUCCUGCUUCACGAGGGCAAAGCAGAGAUGGCAGACCAGGCUGCGGCCUGGCUCACCCGUCAGGGCAGCUUCCAAGGGGGAUUCCGCAGUACCCAAGUAGGGGCCGUCCCCGGGCUCUGGGGGUGGGUAGUCCUCA